AUCAGUAUAGUCUAUACCAAACUUAGUAGCCAAUUCAACCCUGUCUCUUACACCAUCUUUCAAGGCCUUACCAAUAAGGAUUUCAUUGGUAUGGGGACCAUAAACAUCAGAAGUAUCAAGAAAGGUAACCCCGGAGUUGAUAGCAUGGUGGAUUAGAGCAAUCAUGUCAGCUUCGGGCUUUGGAGGACCAUAGAAAGCUGACAUCCCCAUGCAUCCAAGGCCUUGAGCUGACACUUCCAGGCCCUGAGAACCCAACUUGAUCCUCCCAACUUUUUCAGUUGCCAUGUUUCACUGAUGGUUGAGUGUGAAGCGAUUAGCUAUCUGGAUUUUUGGUGUUGAGGAUGGAGGUUUCACCGUUUCAGCACUGUUAAAUAGUGGCUGGGGAAAGGGCAUGACGUAAGGGCAUAUGUUAAUACAGAUUAAUGAUUGCGUAUAUUAUUGUAAUAUUCAAGAAAAUUAUAAACAAAGUCAAAUAAGACCUUACAACUUAGUAGUUAAAGUUUUUUUUUUUUUUUUUUAAUUCUUUGCUACAUUUAUGAAUUUUAUAAGAAAACUUAAGUAAUUUAUGAAUGUUAUAAAAAGUUUUUGAAAAUUUCUUUGUACAUAAGUAAAUUAUGUAAAAAGCUUUUACAUAAGAUGUCAACAACUCAACAUCACCAUUUUUUUCUCUUUUCUUAAAAAGUAAAAAUUAUGGUAAACUAAAUAUUUGUUUAUCAAAAGAACACCAAAUAUUAAUAGAGAGGUCAUUAACAUUGCACUAAAUUUGAAUCCGAGAUUUAGUUCGACUAAUUUAUAUAUUUAUAUUUAGAAAGUAAAAUUUAAUAAGUCUAAAUUAUUGACAAAAAAUUAAAAUUCAAAUUUUAACACAAUUUUUUUCUCAAUCUCCAUAAUAUGACUUUUUAUGUAAAAUAAAAUUAUACUUAAUCUCAAAAUUAAUUAGUUCACCUGUCAAGGAAAAAUCAAAUUAAAAAACAUUACUAAUUAAUUAUGACUAAUAGAAAUUAUAAUUUCUUGAACAUUAUUAAUUUCUUAUCACACCCAUCAUUUAUGUUAAAUGAAAAAAAUCAUAAUUAUUUUUAUAACUAUAAAAUAACAAGUGGUGCUUAAAUGAAUUUUAUAAUAAAAUAUUUAGAAGCAAUAAAUACCAUUAAAAGGACAUUAGGAUUGCAUCUAACAUUUGAUUUUUCUUUUGGCCAAAACCUAACAUUGGUUUUAUAAAGUUAUCUUGAAAUUUUCUUUCAAAAUUGGAAUCUUAAAAAUUCAUAAUAUAAAUUUUCGAAAGAACGAAGUGCGGCACUCACUUUUUUUUUUUUUGGCAUUUUCUUUGUUUUUUUUUUUUAUUUAUAGGUUUUUUUUUCUUUUACCUGUUUUAAUUUAUUGACUUUCGCAUGUGAAAAAAGUAAAGAAAGUAAAAAUUGAUGGGACAAUGAUUGAUGAAGAGUUGGUGAAAGUUGGUAAAGAGUAAAGAUUAACAAAGAGAGUUAAAAGUAAAAAAGCAAGGAAAAAAUUGAGGUACCCUCCUUUGUAUCAUUUCUUUUCUUUUUUAAUCCUUAUUUAAUUGUUUUUUAUUUAAUUGUUAUUGUUUAUUUUUUAUGAUUAAAUAUAAAAAAUUAUUUAAUUAUAUAUUUUUCUAUCAAUUUGAUAUAAAAUAAAAUAAAAUUAUUAAUUUGACACCUAAACUUUCAUUCUAUUAUCACUUUAAAACAUUAGACUAAUAUCAUUAGUCCAUUUAUUGAUUGUUAAUACUUAAUUUUUUUUAGCAAAUUCUAGUCAAAUAUGAAGCGUUUAAAAUUCAAUCUAAUUUAAAUCUAAUAUUUCUUUAAUAUUGAUAAAUUAUCAAAACUAAAUUAUGGAUCAAAUUGACUUGAAUAUCCUUUAGUCAAAUCUAGUCAAUAAUAAUCAAACUCGAUCAAAUUAGGAUUAAUCUUUGGAACUCAUAACCAAAUAGGAUUUUUAAAACUUGAGAUUAAUAAUUUAUGAUUUUGAUGCACUAAAAAUCAUGAUUAUAACUCGAAAUGUGUAAAAUUAUCAAAAUAUUUUUUAGAGGUAUUUUUAUAAUUUGAUCUUUUUUAGAUUAUGUUUUGGUAUUAUUUAAUAAUUUUUUACAUUAAAAACCUUAAUCGCACCUCAUAAAAUAUGAAAUUAUCAAAAUAUCAUUUAGGAGUAUUUUUACAAAAAGUUUUAGAUCAUAUUUUAAUAUUAUUUUAUGAUUUUUGAUAUAUUAAAACCCUUAUCGCAUCUUAAAGUGUAAAACUAUCAAAAUGUCCUCUAAAAAUAUUUUCAUAAUUUGACUUUUCGAGAUUGGUAUUUCGUAAAAAACUUCAAAUCAUGUUUUGAUAUUAUUUCAUGACUUUUGAUAUAUUAAAAACUUUGAUUGCACUUCUAAAUGUGUGAAAUUAUCAAAAUAUUUUUUAAGCGUAUUUUUAUAAUUUAACUUUUUUCCAAGUUGAUUUUUCGCAAAAAUGCUUCAAAUCAAAAUUUGAUAUUAUUUCAGGGUGUUGCACUAAGAAACAUGUUUCCUGCAUGUGUAAAUUCCGCUCUAAGGACCGUUCCUGAUGCAUCUGAGAUUGUCCAAUUUUUUUCUGCAAAGUUCCUCGUCCAAUUCAAGGUGUAAGCUAGACUUGUGAUUUACAAGCUAGGAUUUCCAGCAAAUGCUUGCAUUCAACCAAUCUUGAUGAGUAACAAAUCAAGAAAACAUGUGGGAAAAGAGCCACGUGGCAUGGUCACAAUUGCCUAGUUUAGAUGUUUGUUGAUGCCAUAGCCGAAGGAACCGGUGGCCAAUUUUGGACAGACUUAUGAAUCAAAAUGAGAAGCAGGACUGGUCACUUACAGUACUGGUGUUUGGGAUUAAUUAACAUCUAGCAAGGCUGCGUUUGGAAAGUCUUAUCUGGAUCUACAAAGAAAUUCCCUUCCUUUGAUCCUUUCACAGGGGGGUUGUAUUGUUUACGGGCCAAAGUAUAUAGAUGGGCCUAUGAAGUGUAAGGUCAGUAGUUGAGUCCAGUCCAAUAAUUAGGAUUAUUUCAAAUAUUAGUUAAAAUCAGUGAAUGUGCGAUUAGUUAUAUCACAACUAGAUUAGUUAAAAAGCUGAUGUCAAUUGCUGAUGUUCAUGGUCUGUUAAAGGUUUUUAGAAGGGAGGAGACGAUUGGUUGUAGGCAUUCUGAAAAUUCAUACAACAUAAUACAAUAUUUCUCUCUAUACUUUCUCUUUUCUUCUUCUUCCAUUUACUCUUCUCUGAUUCAAGGCUGGGUAGAUUUCUUCAUCAACUUAAUGUCUUCAUUCUCAGUUGGCCCCAUACCAGCUUUCAAAUUUCCCAAUGUUUAAGCAGACUUUUGAUGAUAGAAAGUCAGGAAGUCAAACGAAUUUAAAAGAGAAGAAAGCAUGAGAGAUAGUUAAAUCAUUGAAAUAUUGGAGCAAGAUUUUGCCUUUUUUUUUUUUCGUUUGGUCAAAGGAAUCAUGCAGUGCACAAAAAACCUAAUGUUGGGAAAUCUGAAAUCAUGCAUUGAUAGCUUAUUUCAGAACCUUUUGCUUCAUUACCAUGGGAAUACACAAUCUCAACAUGACAAACCUGGAUAGCUACUACCAAGUUUGCAAUCUCUCAUCAGAAGACCUAUGGAUACUUCUGAUACAACACUUAUUCUCUUGAAACAAAGUAGAGACAAUUGUAGCUUGCCCUCAUCAUUCAGGUUUCCAUGAAGACAAGGGAGGAGUUUCAGAUUCAUGGUACGUAGCGAUAGUUCCACCGUAUCUAUCUCCCUUCACAGCAUCUGCUGAAGCAAUAGAUUCUAGCUCAGUCAUCUCUUCAGGUGUUAAUUUUACGGACAAAGCUCCGAUGUUGUGGCUGAAGUUUUCAGUUUUGGUGGUUCCAGGAAUGGGACAGGACAUCAUUCCCUUGGUGAUGAACCCAUGCCAAUGCAAGCUGCGAUGGGGUGCACCCCUUCUUUGCUGCUAUCUCAUUAACUCGCUCAUAAAGACGGUCUGUUGUGCUCAAGAUUUUCAGGUUGGAACCUCGGUAGAUACUGUGACAAUUGAAAAUCCAUUCACAUGAUUGUCAUGAAAAAUAAAGAUGAUCUGCAGCAGACCAUUACUUUCUGCAAAUAAUACAGAUUUAGGAUUCAAGGCAUUUCAAAAAGUGUUUGACAAUUCAUGCCAUCAAUGGUUGUCAAAAUGGACCUCAUUUAAUUGCCCAAAUACAGAAAAGAUCUCAUAUCCUCAGAUUUGAUUUAAAUAGAAGGCUAAAUGCCUAUUUCAGAAAAUUUAAAUGGGGUACUAAUUUUUUAACAAAAAUUAACCAUGCAGUUCCUUAAAAGUAUAUUCAUGUACUCCAGAGUUCAGUCAUUAACUUCAAUUGCUAAAAUUAAGACUAAUGUAACCUGGAGCUUAGUUAAGUUGGUUCAUGCAACUGCCCUUAAGAGUAACAUCCAGCAGGUUUAGGAUUCAAAUUCCAGUGUCUGCAACCUCUUUCCCUAUCCCCAGGCUGCGGCCUCCUUUGUACUAAAAAAAGAUAGGACUAAUGCUCGUUACCUAAUUUAUACAUCACUUGGUUCAUUUGAUACAGAAUUCUCAAAUACAAGUAACAGAUGUCUCAUCUGUGACUCUGAUCUCAACUGAAGUAAACAAAUCUCCACUACAAACUUCCCUGAAGUUUUUCAUUAAAAGAUGCAUUAGAUGAUUGUAAACCGCUGCUAAUUGAUAAGUAACGGAUAUUAAUCAAUGGCUCACAAGAGACACUUGCAGUCUAGCAAAACCCAAGGGAAGGACAUAAAGGUAUAGUCAGCCCUCUGUUAUUAAAGGUGAUUUGAAGCUUAACAUGCCUGCAUACUAUUUCACUUGAAAGUUGCGGGAUGCAUAUGACUUCACUAUAUAAUGGUAGUGGAUAUGACACAAUAGGGAAAAAGAUUAUGAACAUUUUCAAACUUCAAUUCUUAACUAGUCCUCCCUUACUGUACUGCACAGUUGGAUAAUAUACACUUAGACAGUAAACACUGACAUUUAAUUAAAACCAAUUCACAUGAGACACCCACUAAAUUGGAAAGAACUAGAUUGCUAGCAUUGAGGCACUUAAGAGACUAAAAUUGGGUGGCUUUCAUUACAGAGUAUGCUAACAAAGAGGAAAAUGUUGCAGAACAACUUAAGCAUACAAAUUAUUUGGCUCUCAUAUGUAAAUACUCUUGUCUUGUCAGCAACCUCCGAUGCUGACUUAGGCUAGAGUUGAAAAUCUAGAAUACCCUAAUUUUUUUUUAAUAUUUUAGACCAUCAGGCACACGGCUACUGGAACUAAGAGUAAGCACUCUACCAAUAGGCACCCAGCUGUUGGCUAAUACCAUUAAAUUUAAUAUGCCUAAAAUAACAGAUAAUCAUGGCUUAUGAACAAGUAUCCAAAUGUGAAAAGUAGCUACAAACCUUUCUGAAGUCAUCAUUGGAAAAAGUUUCCACUAUUUUAGGCCCUGAUGAAAAGAAUCCUCUCCCCAGAGGGCUGUAAGCGACAAUCCCAAUCCCAAGUUCCCUAAGAAAUUAAAAGGAAUCACAUCAAAUAAGAAUUCCAAAUCAGAAAUUUUCAAAAAAAAAAGAAAUUUGUUGGUCUUAUGGAUAAAUAACCUGCAAGUAGGAAUGAUGUCUGCCUCAACAUCUCUAGACCACAAGGACCACUCCAAUUGUACAGCAGUAAUUGAUGAACAGCAUGUGCCCUUCUAAUUGUCGAAGCAGAAGCCUCAGAUAAACCUAUAUACUUUACUUUACCUUCUUCAACUAGUUUCUUAAGUUUUCCCAUCUGGAAAAAAAAAAAAAAGCAACAAUAAUAAAAGAAUAAAAAAAAGCAAAAAGUCAAAACAAAAAAAAAAUCAUGACUUCAUAGGAACCCUGGUAUCAAUUCGAUACUGGUAAUAAAGAUCAAUACAAUCAAUAUUAAGACGCUUCAAGCUACCUUCACAGGCCGCUCUGACAUAAGCAGGGUCACCACGGAUUUCCCUCUUGCCAUCAGUAUAGUCUAUACCAAACUUAGUAGCCAAUUCAACCCUGUCUCUUACACCAUCUUUCAAGGCCUUACCAAGAAGGAUUUCAUUGGUAUGGGGACCAUAAACAUCAGAAGUAUCAAGAAAGGUAACCCCGGAGUUGAUAGCAUGGUGGAUUAGAGCAAUCAUGUCAGCUUCGGGCUUUGGAGGACCAUAGGCAGCUGACAUCCCCAUGCAUCCAAGGCCUUGAGCUGACACUUCCAGGCCCUGAGAACCCAACUUGAUCCUCCCAACUUUUUCAGUUGCCAUGUUUCACUGAUGGUUGAGUG
rnacentral:lncRNA from 1 species